GAUCCGCCGGCCUCGGCCUCCCGAGGUGCGGAGAUUGCAGACGGAGUCUGGUUCACUCAGUGCUCAAUGGCGCCCAGGCUGGAGUGCAGUGGCGUGAUCUCGGCUCGCUACAACCUCCACCUCCCAGCCGCCUGCCUUGGCCUCCCAAAGUGCCCAGAGUGCAGCCUCUGCCCGGCCGCCACCCUGUCUGGGAAGUGAGGAGCGUCUCUGCCUGGCCGCCCAUCGUCUGGGAUGUGAGGAGCCCCUCUGCCUGGCUGCCCAGUCUGGAAAGUGAGGAGCGUCUCUGCCCGGCCGCCGUCCCAUCUAGGAAGUGAGGAGCGCCUCUUCCCGGCCGCCAUCCCAUCUAGGAAGUGAGGAGCGUCUCUGCCCGGCCGCCCAUCGUCUGGGAUGUGGGGAGCGCCUCUGCCCCGCCGCCCCGUCUGGGAUGUGAGGAGCGUCUCUGCCUGGCCGCCCCUACUGGGAAGUGAGGAGCCCCUCUGCCCGGCCAGCCGCCCCGUCCAGG
rnacentral:lncRNA from 1 species